CCUGAGAAACCUAAAAGUUCGAAAGGAGAGAUUCAACGUCAGUAUAUAUUGUAUUCACGUGAGUAGUGAUGUAUGCACAUUUUCAUGUUUUUUUAUUGCAAUAUUAUUACCGGCGUGCAUUUCUCUUCUAGUAGAACGUCCCGACCCGUUGAAUCUUGGCCUACGGCACAGACUUUGAUACUUUAAGUAUUGAAGACCUCUGAUAUUGAAGACCUCUGAUGUACUCCUGGCUAAAAGUAUUUGACGGGGUAUUAAGCCGCAAAAAUUUUUUUUUUGUGCGUCUGUGCGUCUGGCCUGCCGCAAGUUUCUUGACAUACCGUAUUCCAUAGACCUGGUCUUAUGUUUAUGGACAGUGCUCUUAGACUGGCUUUUUCUACCUGUCAGGGACGCUUAGGCUUUGGGUACUCUCAGGACCCGUCUUGAAACACGGACCAAGGAGUCUAACAUGUAUGCGAGUCAUUGGGUAUAUAUUUUUCAAACCUAAAGGCGAAAUGAAAGUAAAAGUUGAA
rnacentral:rRNA from 1 species